CGUUGUUGGGUAGGGGAGCGUUCUGUAAGCCGUUGAAGGUGGCCUGUGAGGGUUGCUGGAGGUAUCAGAAGUGCGAAUGCUGACAUAAGUAACGAUAAAGCGGGUGAAAAGCCCGCUCGCCGGAAGACCAAGGGUUCCUGUCCAACGUUAAUCGGGGCAGGGUGAGUCGACCCCUAAGGCGAGGCUGAAAAGCGUAGUCGAUGGGAAACAGGUUAAUAUUCCUGUACUUGGUGUUACUGCGAAGG
rnacentral:rRNA from 1 species